rnacentral:rRNA from 1 species
UACAGAGGUGGCAAGCGUUGUUCGGAAUUACUGGGCGUAAAGGGCGCGUAGGCGGCCUUCUAAGUCAGACGUGAAAUCCCCAGGCUUAACUUGGGAACUGCGUCUGAUACUGGGAGGCUUGAGUGCGGGAGAGGGAUGUGGAAUUCCAGGUGUAGCGGUGAAAUGCGUAGAUAUCUGGAGGAACACCGGUGGCGAAAGCGCUCUACUGGGCCAUAACUGACACUGAGGGACGAAAGCUAGGGGAGCGAAAGGG